UUCAGCUGCUCACCUGGGUGCACCACCAAUGAGGCCAGGUGAGGCAAUUGCCUCAGGCAGCACCAGGUAGGGGCGAGAGGGGGGCAGUGGAAGAGCCAUAGGCAAUGAGCACUUUUAUUGUGGUAAAAGGGAUAGGUUAAGAAAUUGGCAUUGGGGGAGGGGGGGCGCCGUUUCAGUUUUUGCCUCAGGCAGCAGAAAGG